rnacentral:rRNA from 1 species
UACGUAGGGUGCAAGCGUUGUCCGGAAUUAUUGGGCGUAAAGAGCUCGUAGGCGGUUUGUUGCGUCGGCUGUGAAAUCCCGAGGCUCAACCUCGGGUCUGCAGUCGAUACGAGCAAACUAGAGUGUUGCAGGGGAGACUGGAAUUCCUGGUGUAGAGGUGAAAUGCGCAGAUAUCAGGAGGAACACCGGUGGCGAAGGCGGGUCUCUGGGCAACAACUGACGCUGAGGAGCGAAAGCGUGGGGAGCGAACAGG